UAAUAACAUGAGGAGUGAGGGUCCCUAAUUGUAAAAUUGCUUUGAAUGAAGCUUUGCUGCUCAGUGUGCAUUAAAAAAGAGUAUAAGAAUCUCCUGUAGGAGACCAAGAGAUGAAGAGGAUUCUUUUAUUAAAACAUUUGUUCUGACUCAUGCACAAAGAGGCAUCGAACCAAAGUCCCAAAUGCCCUGGCUGUGCCAUUCGAUCUCAGAACUGUAAGGUGGAAGGUGAGCUCUGCAAUGGAAGGGAACAGGAAGCUUCCCUGAACUGUGGAUUUUCUGGAGCUGGAUACAAAAAUCUGUCACUUG